UAAAGAGUUCUAUAACUCCCAAACCCAUGUGAACAUACCUAACGUUGCCUCGGCAGGUCGCACCUACCUUGUAGCACCCUACCCUGUAGGGCCUACCCGGGAGAUGCGGGUAAGCCUGCCGGCGGCCCACCAAACUCUGUUUGAUAUUGAAUUCUGAACAUAUAACUAAAUAAGUUAAAACUUUCAACAACGGAUCUCUUGGUUCUGGCAUCGAUGAAGAACGCAGCGAAAUGCGAUAAGUAAUGUGAAUUGCAGAAUUCAGUGAAUCAUCGAAUCUUUGAACGCAUAUUGCGCCCAUUAGUAUUCUAGUGGGCAGGACCGUUCGAGCGUCAUUUCGACCCUUAAGCCUUAGUUGCUUAGUGUUGGGAGCCUACGGCAACGUAGCUCCUCAAAGUUAGUGGCGGAGUUGGUUCACACUCUAGACGUAGUAAUUUUUUAUCUCGCCUAUUAGUUGGACUGAUCCCCUGCCGUAAAACCCCCAACUUAUCAAGGUUGACCUCGAAUCGGUUCAGACAAACUCGCUAAAUUGAAGCAUCUUAGUCAGCGAAGGAAAAGAAACCAACAGGGAUUGCCCUAGUAACGGC
rnacentral:rRNA from 1 species